GGGCUAUGAUGAUGAAUAGCACUUCUGUGUUUGUUGGUCAAUCACAAUCAUCAUUAAGAUGAAAAUAUGUGCUUCUGAGCUC
rnacentral:snoRNA from 1 species